rnacentral:rRNA from 1 species
UGGGGAAUAUUGGACAAUGGGCGAAAGCCUGAUCCAGCCAUGCCGCGUGUGUGAAGAAGGUCUUCGGAUUGUAAAGCACUUUAAGUUGGGAGGAAGGGCAGUAAGCUAAUACCUUGCUGUUUUGACGUUACCGACAGAAUAAGCACCGGCUAACUUCGUGCCAGCAGCCGCGGUAAUACGAAGGGUGCAAGCGUUAAUCGGAAUUACUGGGCGUAAAGCGCGCGUAGGUGGUUUGAUAAGUUGGAUGUGAAAGCCCCGGGCUCAACCUGGGAAUUGCAUCCAAAACUGUCUGACUAGAGUAUGGCAGAGGGUGGUGGAAUUUCCUGUGUAGCGGUGAAAUGCGUAGAUAUAGGAAGGAACACCAGUGGCGAAAGGCGACCACCUGGGGCUAAAUACUGACACUGAGGUGCGAAAGCGUGGGGGAGCAAAACAGGAUUAGAUACCCUGGUAGUCCACGCCGUAAAACGAUGUCGACUAGCCGUUGGGAUCCUUGAGAUCUUAGUGGCGCAGCUAACGCAUUAAGUCGACCGCCUGGGGAGUACGGCCGCAAGGUUAAAACUCAAAUGAAUUGACGGGGUCAUAGCUGUUUCCUG